rnacentral:lncRNA from 1 species
AACUUCAGACGCAAACAGAGAAAUGAUGCUCAAAUGGUUGAGUUUUAUGAUGAAACAUUAGCAAAGCUGCAGAAGGAGCUGAAGCAAUCAAAAGAACAGCUCAUACAAUGUACUAAAAAUCUGUAUUCUACAGAACAGAAUAUUCAGGCUUUAAACAUGGAAAUAAGUUUAUAGGAAAGAAAUCAGAGUCCAUUGACAAGGCAGAACACCUCCAAAGUGAACUAAAUAUAUUUACAAUAAUGUUUGACACAGCAAGUAGAGAGGUAAGUAUAUUCUACAUUAAACUAGUUUCCCUUGUACAUUUUAAAAACUUGUAUUUGUAACCAUUUUC